AAAGUCCUAAAGAAUUAUUAAAUGUAAAUAAUAAAUUCUUAUGAUUGACAAUGUCAUUAAUAAUAAAUCUGUGCUGACUAGGUCAUCUGACGUUACAUCCUGGUAAUUGAGAAAACACUUGCAGUUUUGUCAAGUAUUUUGGUGGGAGGAAAGCCAUGUUUAUUUUAGGUUUAUGACAAAUGAGAGAGCCCUUAAUUAAUCCUUAAUCUUGCAUAACAAGUGUGUGACGUAGCUAUUCUAGUGAUGGGAGUCUUUUUGCUUUGCUAAAGACAUCAGUAAACUGUUUGGAAAAGUGUUGUUAAGGAACUUCUGAAGAUAAAAAUGACACAGAUGAAAAUGCUAGGUUACUUUUCAUUUGAAUCCAAAUGCCAUAAAGUCAGUUUUUGGGUGUGUAUACAAGUGCUGAUGUUUUGAUGGUUUAGUAUAGAUUGAGGUACCUAAUUUUAGCACAUAGAUUCACACAUCCAGACUAUAUUGAGUUAUUGAAUAUAGGAAUUGGGUGUACUAAAUAUUCAGGACAUUCUUUCAAACUUUCCACUGGUAUGAUUAAAGUGUAGUCUGGUGGUGUUUCAUUAGUUUCCAGUUUGCAGUAAAAACAGAAUGCUGUAACAUUUUCAGCAAGAUGAAACUUAAUUGUCAAAUGAAGCCAGGAGAAGGAAAACCAUAAUUAAAGAAAAUUUCAGAUGGGGUAGAUACUGGCCCCUGCUGGAAUACAGUAGUUUCAGUUUUGAUUUGCUGGUCUAAAUUAGGAGGAGGAUGAUUUUAAACCUUAGGUUUCUUAUACCAGAUGAUUGUGUGUGUUAUUCUCAACAUUUUAAAAAAAAAUUUUCCUCCUCAUGAAAAAUGCUGGAGGCAUUUAAUCUUAUUUUGCAUACUAUAACAGCCUCUUUAGAAAUCCAAACACUGGAGGUGCAGGAAAACUAUUCUGGGCUUACUUCUAACCUCCUGGAUGACAUGGUAGUGUUGUAACAUGUGCUGUCAGAACAAAUGCUAAUUACUGUCAGGGCAGUUUUCCUGAAAGCCCUCUGUGUUUGUAGCAUAUUAGUUUGUGUCAAAAUGAAUCUCAUCCCUGCAGAUGCACCAGAGGGGUUUUUGUUAAUGAGAUAAGAUAUAUACCAUGUGACUGCUCACUGUUUGUAGACUUUAAGUGGAUAAGGAAAUUUUGCACUGGACUGCAAGUCCUAUUUAUUCCAAGUUGCCACAGAUGUGCUCUUUGUACACCUUCCUCUUGCCCUGAGUUCCUGUAGAGCUACAUUGUUUCCUAGUGUUAAGUUGUGCUGUACAAUUACUUGUGGUCUCUUGCUCACCUACACUUCACUUUAUCUGACAUUCCAGUACAUCAUCGUUCAUGGGCUUGUGUGUGUAUCUAAAACCCCAAAGAGGAGCUGGAUUUAUUCACCAUCCAGAGAGAUGAAAGUUUCAGAGAAGUACCACCAUGAUAAGGAUGUAUGUCAGAUUGUUGCUAAGUGGAAUAGCUGUAUGAAAUAAUUUUAAGAUGCCUAGGAGUACUGGCUCAAGGGAAAAUUAGCAGUCAAUAGGAAGUCAAGGCAGAAAAUGAACACUAUUGUAGCACUUGGUCAUUUUAUGCCAAGUAAAGAAUGACAAGAAAAAUGAGGCUGCUGAAGACUGGAAUGGCGAUUGAGAUAUUGUCUGCAAUCUUCUUGAAAUAGAGGAGCCUGAGACAAGUUGAUGAUCUUACAAGAACUCAUGAACUGAAAACUUCAAGAAGAGAGAUCUUACCCUUGAGAGUUGUAAUUUUUGUGGAAUAAAUAGAUCUGUUUGGAAUGUACAUAAAACUGAAUUUCUGAAUGAUGAGAAAGCAAGCCAGAGAGCAGAGAAUAUUAACCCACUGACUUUAGGGAACUGCUUUUCUUCAUACUUACAGGGUUAUAAGGGCCUUCAAAUUUCUCCAUCUUCCGAUUUAUCAGGAGAGAAAUUCUGGAAGACUUCCCAGGACUGAGGUUCAGAAAUAUAAGAGAUUUCUUCAGUUUGAGAGAGUUGCAAAGAUUUUAUUUGCACUUGUAGUAUGCUCUUCAACUUCUCUUUUAAUUUUGGCAUUAAACUUUGUAAUAAACUUCUACUGUUUUCAGGCUUUUCUUUGCUUAAAUAAAUAAAAGGUUUU